UAAAUUUCUUGUAGUUGUGGAACACAGGGAGGGGCAGCGACAAACAUCCGAGAGUUAUUAGAGUGAGACAGUGAAUCAUUUUACCUCGAAAUUUGAGGGUAAAAAGUUUCUCAAAACUUGUAGCGGAGGCACUUUUGGACUUUUACAGCGUAUUGGGAAAAAUUGAGUUUACAUAUCGAAGUGAUUGAAAGAUGACGUGUCAUGACACGAAGGCCGGUCAAAGAAUGAUGAUUAGCAAAGAGGCACGAGUUGCAACAGAUACGAGCAGACGCACAAGUAGAGGCACGAGCAGUUACUCAAAAGACUCGACGCUCAUACCUAUUUAGAUCCGCAAAUUAAGGAGAAUGAAUCUGACAGCACAAGAGAGUACAAAUGCAGUAUUUAAUAAGCAUUAAAUACUAAAAACGUUAAAGAAUUUGUAUUAAAUUACAAUAAUUAUGUAACGUAACAUUUAAUGCCUUUAAUUAUCUAUAAUGGCCUGAU